rnacentral:rRNA from 1 species
UACGAAGGGGGCUAGCGUUGUUCGGAAUUACUGGGCGUAAAGCGCACGUAGGCGGGUUUGUAAGUAGGGGGUGAAAUCCCAGGGCUCAACCCUGGAACUGCCCUUCUAGACUGCAAGCCUGGAGGUCAGGAGAGGCGAGUGGAAUACCGAGUGUAGAGGUGAAAUUCGUAGAUAUUCGGUGGAACACCAGUGGCGAAGGCGACUCGCUGGACUGAUACUGACGCUGAGGUGCGAAAAGCGUGGGGAGCAAACAGG